rnacentral:snRNA from 1 species
GUGCUUACUUCAGCAGCACUAAUACUGGAACGAUACAGAGGAUUGGUUGGUCCUGAGCAAGGAUGACACAUCAAUUUGAGAAGCGUUCCAUAUUUUU